UACAUUCACUACUGUAAGUUGCUCUGGAUAAGAGUGUCUGCUAAAUGACUCAAA
rfam:Salmo salar isolate Sally breed double haploid chromosome ssa05, whole genome shotgun sequence.